CUGGAACACCUCCUUUCUGGAGAGUAUGACUGUUCGACGACAGAUCGAUGCUCGUUCUUUCUCUCGAAUUACCGGUAAUUUUUGUUAUACGAGUGGGAUUCUCCCGCGGAUACAGUCCCGUAGCUCAGUUGGUUAGAGCACUACACUGAUAAUGUAGGGGUCUGCGGUUCAAGUCCGCACGGGACUACACCAACUUCGGGGGAUUAGCUCAGUUGGCUAGAGCACCUGCUUUGCAAGCAGGGGGUCAAGGGUUCGACUCCCUUAUUCUCCACGGAUAAAGUUCUUUGACAUGCUGGAACGUUAAUGGAUCAAAUGAUCCACGAAGUAAAAAUGUAGUAGAAUAACACAGAGCCGUACCCGUGGUGACACAGGGGGACAAGGUAGAUUAUAAAAGUACACGACGCUAACGAACGUGAACAAUCAAGGGCGCACGGUGGAUGCCU
rnacentral:tRNA from 1 species